rnacentral:lncRNA from 1 species
GAGAUUGCACGAUUGUACUCCAGCCUGGGUAGUAAGAGCGAAACUCCAUCUCAGAAAAACAAAAAACAAAAACAAAAAAGCAAAACAACCCUUGGCUCCUCAAGCAUGUGAGCUCAGGCAGGGCCAGCCCAGCCUUAACUGUGGAGGCUGGUGGGACAGUCCCAUGGGGAAGCCCACUGCUGCGCCGCUUGGAGGAGGAAACCCAGCAUGUGAGGCUGCUCAUUGUCACGUGGUUUGCUGUGCUCUGCAGAAGGAGAUUCUGUGUUCACACCCAGGAUGUCAUGGAAGAGGAGCUCAUCCCAUUCAUCUCCCUGGCACAGGGUAGACACUUGGGGGAUGCUGCAUUAAGUGAAGUGAACCUGACUCUGUUUCUUUAGCCCCAGCCCACCCGAGUCUCAAUCUUCCCAUCUGUCAAGAGAAAUAAUAAGAUUAUUUGCCUCUAAACAGGUGGCUGAGAUCAUAGAUAGUGCAAAUGAUGUCACUGUUGGACUCUCCGGUGUUAUAUAAAUUUAAGACAUGAACAAUAAAGAAACUACCGAUAUUUACUGCUCAGACAUGCCCACGUUAAGAUUUUAAUGGCUAAAAGGCAGUUGUUUUUCCAUCUGACAUUAUGUUAUUCAACAGAGUAAGUAGUCUAAGUUGGAGGAAUCCCCUUGGGAAUUGACUACAAAGAGCAAAUAAAAAAGAGUAACAGAUCCAAGACCCUUACCCCUUAAAUUUAUUUUCACUUCCUAAAUUGAACUUCAUGCAAAAUAGGUUAUUUAUCACUAGGGUAAAAUAAGAUAAUGGGGAGGUUUAAUUAGCCAAAGCCCUGUGAUAACGCGUUUCUUCCUUACCAAAUACCCAAUGAGAAUGCAUAUCAUUAAUUCUGUGGUUAGCUAAUAAGAAAAUGAAAAAAGCUCCCUUAAUUUUUCCUUGAAAAAAUUUUUAAACUAACACAAAGAUGCCAAUGAAUGAGUAUUUUGCUUACAUCCAUUCACUCCAUCCAACUCUCAUUCAAAUGCUCAUUGUGCACCUGCUAAGGUCAGGUGCGUGCUUUCUGCCAAGCAUUCCAAGAGGAACGUCACAUAGUCUUUGCCCUCAGGAAGCGUACGGUCUGGUUGGGAAAGAGAUGCUUCCAACAAUAAUUCUGAUACCUGUGUGAUAUGGUUUGGCUGUGUCCCCACCCAAAUCUCAUCCUGAAUCCUACUCCCAUAAUUCCCACGUGUUGUGGGAUGGAACUGGUGAGAGAUAAUUGAAUCACGAGCGCGGUUUCUCCCAUACUGUUCUUGUGCUAGUGAAUAAAUCUCACGAGAUCUGAUGGUUUUAUAAACGAGAAGCCCUUUUCGCUUGACCCUCAUUAUAGCUCAUGCCGCAGCCAGGUAAGAAGUGCCUUUCGCCUUCCGCCUUCCGCCAUGACUGUUAGGCCUCCCUAGCCACGUGGAACUUUAAGUCCAUUAAACGUCUUUCUUUUAUAAAUUGCCCAGUCUUGGGUAUGUCUUUAUCAGCAGCGCGAAAACAGAUUACUAACACACUGUGGUAAAGGUGAAAUCAGUGCUCACUCCUUCGGGUGAAUUCCGUCACAUAAUCUCCACUGGGGAAGGGGUGGGCAUGGGCAGCUCCUGGGAGCUGAUGUCUUAGGGGCCCUAACACAAAAGUUCAUGCAGUUCAGCAUCCCUUCCCCUCCCAUGCCCCACAGGGCACAAACGCAUUGUUGUCCAUCACCAAAACACAUUACCCUUAGUACUCGACUCUAAUGAAGUUCCAGUUCCUCAGUUGUAUAACGAGGCUUCCAAGCUCCUAUUUUAAAAGAAAGUUUCUUGAAGCUAAAUAAAAGCACUGCUAACAUGAAAUUAACAGUGGAAAUUUUUGAGUGUAAUUUCAGGGUGAAAAAAACUGAAAAGACAAAUGUAGAUUUUAGAUAUUUCAAGGAAGGAGAGAGAGUAGUGUUGCUGGUACCAUGCCUCUGCACUUGCUAUAGCUGAGUUUCAUUUGAGUAUCCAUUAUUUGGAAGGAGUUCUUAAAUCUAAGCCUGUGGAAGACAAUAAAUUCACAUUAAUUAUCUCUCCAUUUGACUCAAUUUCUGAAGAAGUUCUAUCCUUCUGAUGAACUAUCAGAUUAAAUCCCAGAUUCCUCAGUAUGAUGUCCCUGAAUACCAAUAUAAAGAAUAAAGGAAGAGAUCAAAACCUGGAUGAAUAAUCUGUAUAAACAUGGGCAUAUACACAAGGUAUGACUAUAAUAUUGAGACUCAUCCUAUAAAGCACCUACAAAAGUUGAUUGUAUUAUUUUAUACUUAUGCUUGUGCACAUAAAAAAUAUUUGGCAGGCUAAAGGCCAAAGAACCAGGCACUGUUCUCAAAAGGACAUAGCAGAUUAACUACACCUCUAUUUGUCCUUCUAUACUCAAGGCUACUUACUGUAGUUGGGUUGACCAGGCAGAGUUUAAAUCAAUAUAUGUUGGUUGAGCCUGGAUCUUAGAUGAGAAAUUCACACUAACGUGAAAUUCACACAGACAUAUGUGGAAACACUAAAAACAUUUUCUUUUACUUCAUCCACCAGUGACUUUAAUGAAAGCAGAGCAUAAUAAUUAAUACAAGUAAUUAGAGUUGACAACUGAAGUGUCAAGAAAACCACAGUUCAUCUGUUAUCCGUCCAUCUCUGUUGAAAUAUUAGUUUACUGCCAUAUAUUAAUCUAUUUAUAAAGAGAUCCAGACAAUUAGAAAAAUUAGUCUGGAAUCACCAGGCUGAAGGCUUAGCUGAAGUUAAAAGACAAGUAAAAAUGCCUCCAAACUGUAAAACCUGAGUUGGGGAAUAAAUGGUAAAAUGUGUAAAAAUUUAGAAAAAGGUUAUAUGUGGACUGUAAAAAAUACACUGGACUCACAGGUAAUUAAGGGGUGAAUCAGAGUUGUUUCCUAAAUGGCAUAAGCCAAACUCUUAGAUAUUUCUACCAUUAGCUAAAAGGCAGAGAAGCACUCUCUCUCUCUAUUAAUGCACUUUUAAAAAUGAAAAUUGUGAAGUGUUCUGCCCUUAAAGUGGACCUUUAUUUCAGGUCUGCAUUACUUUGCUUAAUAGAUAUGGUCCUAAAGAUUAAGGUGGUGAUCCAUUUUAUCUUGUAAAAAUGCAUAAUUUAAUCUGAGUUAUAGGAAUUUAAAGCUGCCCUACUUUGAAGGCCUUUGUGACUCAAAGAUUUUUUUAAUUUAAUUUUUAAAUUGAGAAUUACCUGGCUUGGGCUUUUGGUCUUUUUAUAAUACGUAUUGCUGUCUACUUUUUUUUUUAUUCUUGGCUGCCUCAAGCUAUUCUUGCCUCCAAAAGGUGUCAGCAUAUGAAUAAAAACAGCAGAAAAUAAUUACCCUAAUUAGGUCAAUGUAUUAAGCUGUUUCUACAACUGUUUCUCUUAAACACCUUAUCUUUGUAGUCUUGGCUCAUUAGAAAUUCGACUAGUGGUAAGUAUUUAUUUUUUUCCUUCAAGGGGGUUUUUGCUUUGCUAAGCCUCGGGCAUUUGGUUCGUGCAAGAAAUCACAGAAACUGCUCCAGCGGACUCCGAAAGGAGCGGAAAAUUCUUUUGUUUGGGGGCCAUGAGGGGUGGGGGAGGGGUGGGGAUUCUGGUGUAAGCUUUUGGCUUGCAUUCGCUUUCUCCCUCCGAAAGUGGGCGACAUCAAGCAAGUCCCAGUUACAGAAAGAACCCACUGCAGGGCGUCCAGUCACUUGCCCAGUGAAAAGACUGUAAUCAGACAACUUUAAUAAAGGGAGAGCAGGAGAGUGGUGACGAAUUUCCACAUUCCGAACAAGCUUGUCGAAAGAGGAGUGCAGGGAAGGAGCAAGAAUGAGGCACUGGAAGACGGUGAGCGGGGCCUUGCCACAGAAUCCCGGGCCCACCUGCUUUCUCACAGUCGCGACAGCCGGCCCGGAGAAGGGCAGCCCAGCGAAGGGCACGCCCCGCGCGGGUGCCAGGGAGGCCGGCAGGGGCGUCCGCGGUCGCUGCUCACCUGCGCUCCCCGCUGCCCGGCCCAGCCCGCCUCGCCACCGAGUCUGGAAGCCCACACUCACCCCUUUACCCGGGAAACGCGGCCGGAGCCGGCGGCGGGUCGGGAGUCCGAGAUGGUAGAUCCCCCUCCAGGCGCCUCGCUGACAUUUUGUCCCGGACGGAAAACCUCCGCGCGUGCCCCUUAAAGACACAGCGCUGCAUUCACACGUCUGCGGGGAAAGGGGGGCCGUCACGUGUGGCCUUCGCCCGAAAGCGGUAGGGGAGUCGCUCUGAAACCGCCAAGGAUCGCGAGCGACAGAUUUGUGUUGGCCAGGGUUUUAAGAUGACGCAAUAGCUGAGUGUGGUUGAAAUGCUGUAGGCGCAUGAUGUCACAAGUUAUUGGAAGAAAUCCCUCCAACCUAGGUUGGGACAGAUGAAGGCGGCGCUUAUUGGUGUUCACCAAAACACCAGCAUGGUGUACCAGCUUUGGCUAGAUGAUGCUCAGACGGGCCUGUCUAAUUGCAGGAAAACAAACUCAGGGCUCCCACUGAUUCUACAUUACGAUAAAUACCUGGAGUGGGAUUGCUAGAUCACAUGGAAAACACAGAUCCUGGUGCCGAACAUGAGGACAGGGCAGGCCGAAGGAGAAAGUGGAAGGAGGGGAGCUUCUCUCUCAGCCUCAUCCUUCUGGGCCUGGAUGCUGGAGAGUCAUGAGGUGCUUCAGAGUACUCUGGGUGAGGAGGGAAAGAUGGUGCCCACCACAUGGAGGCCAGCCUAGGUCUUGUAUGAAACCUGUGAGCUAGCUGAAAGCAGAGAACCCAGCAGAGGAUUCUGGGAAGGUCCUGGGGGAUGGCAGAGCCAGCAGAGAGAGGGUAUGGAUCCACCAGGCAUAGGAUGGAACAGAGCACUAUUGACCACAGUGAACUGGGGCAUGGGCAAUCAAUAAACACAUAUUAGAUUAAGCUAUUGAGACUCAGGGAUUUUUAUACAACUGACAUUCCCUAAGAAGCCAUGAUCUUCCUGUCUCAGGAGGUGCAUAAGCAGUGGUUGAAUGUUCAACAGUCAAGAAUGUUAUAAAAAGAGGUUCUUGGGAGAGUGGACCUGAUGGCCAGCAAAAAUCAUAGCUCACAUUUAUUGAGUUAUUAUGGCUCAGGCAUGUGCACAUAUUCUUUUAUUUAAAUCUACAAUAUGCUUUAUCAUGCUCAUUUUAUACAUGAGGAACACAAGGCAUGGAGAGGUUAGAUAACAUGCCUAAGAUCAUGAAGCAAGCAAGGGGGAGAAAAGAUACCCUUCUCACUCCUUCCAGACAGCUCACUUCACCACCACUCCCCACUGUCUCUAAAGCAAAAGUUAUUUGAAGGCUUAGGGACUGGUUUGGUAUUAUCCAUGCAGGGCGGUUUGUUUUGUUUUUCUUUUAAAAUUUCAGCCUAUGCUUAAAAGAUUUCAUGUAAAAAUUCUGUUUUCUAGUUUCUCUUGAAAAUUAAGAAGAUCUGGUAAAACUGGGCUUGAAGACCAUUAUGGUAACAGGCUGCUGAAGCUGAGGAGAGGGCCCCUUCAGAUGGGCAUAAGCACUGCUCCCCCUCCCCAACCCCCCUUUUAGGUUACUAUCAGACUCUGGAAGCUUCUGAAUGUGUGAACCCUGAAAGAGUCCAUCUAAAGCUAAGUUCUCCCCAGGGGUAGAGCCCAAUGCUGGGCAUACAGUAGGG